rnacentral:rRNA from 1 species
CACGGAAGGGGCAGGCGUUAUUCUUCUUAACUGGGUGUAAAGCGUAUUUUGAUUGUAUUUGCAGAAACUUUAAUAAGUUUCACAUUUUUGAAAGAAAUAAGUCUAUAAAAAUACUGUUUUUUAUUGAUGUUGAUUCAAUUCUUGGCCGAAGGACAAAAUUUUGUGAGACUGAGAGGAAAACCAAAUGCGAAGGCAUUUUUCUAGGUAAAAAAUAUAUUUAAGUACGAAAACUUGGGUAGCGAGCGGG